UAUAGUCCUCUUACCGUGAUCUCACUUGUCAUGUCACUAUCAUCGUACUCAUGCACUACAGCGCUGUUAUCUUCUAGCCCGCUGUAACCUCACAGUGCGACCACUCUAUGUAGCCUUACCGGACCUUUACAAAUAUCCAUAUAUUGCCGCUAUUGUUGGUUGCGUUGGAUGAAUAUCUAAUCACCUAGUGACAUGGCGCUGGGGCCAAAUAGGCCCACCCACUGAUAUUUGGUCAUUCUGGAUGACGGUAAUCAAUAUCUAUACUAGUUAACUAGUUAACUAGCCUAUAUCUGACUUGACAAAAGCCACUUCGGCCCAAGUGUACCCAAAAUACGCAUGGGCAUGACUAGGGUAUGUUGGGGAGCCCAUCUGGUUGAUCGGAUAGCCGCCAUUUACCACGCACUAAUCUAGAAUCUUGUCGAGUGCGGCGUGGACUAUUGAUUUUCCCUCGCCUCUUUUGGAAUGAUUUGGCCCAAGUACAAUUUGCGAUUGAGUCAGCCUUAUCUAUCAACAUCAUAACAACAAGAUAUCAAGCUGAAAAUCGCUCAUAGGACUUUGACUCCGUUUGCUUUCGUUCGCUCUCGUUCAUUCCUGAGUAAUCAAAUUUAUUAAGCCACGCGACUUUUGUUUUGAUGUUAUUGGAGAGUGCCCCAAGGUAAGUUGUCGGUGUAGUGCCAGCUAGACCGUGAUGCUGAGAGGAAUAGGUCCUCUAUUGAGUCAUGAAUAGAAGUAAAUUUAGGACAUUCACCAUAAUUUAGGUCAACUCCCAAGCCAGAAAUGGUAGGCAUUUUGAUACAUUGGUGAGCAUUGAGAAGAGAGACUUCACGUGGGGGAGGAAGCCCUAAUAUAUG
rnacentral:lncRNA from 1 species